AUUCUGCCCAUGCGGGGAAGGAUGAGAAGCUUCGACCAAGGUUCGACUCGAGCGUCAGCGAGAGAGCGUUGCCGCAGGCAACGACCCGAAGGGCGAAGCGCGCAGCGCUGAGUAAUCCUUCCCCCACCACCA
rnacentral:sRNA from 13 species